UUUCAUCUUGUUUAUGGUUUCCUUUGCUGUGCAAAAGCUUUGAAGCUUCAUUAGGUCCCAUUUAUUUUUGUUUUUAUUUCCAUUACUCUAGGAGGUGGAUCAAAAAAGAUCUUGCUGUGAUUUAUGUCAAAGAGUGUUCUUCCUAUGUUUUCCUCUAAGUGUUUUAUAGUGUCUAGUCUUACAUUCAGGUCUCUAAUCCAUUUUGAGUUUAUUUUUGUGUAUGGUGUUAGUGAGUGUUCUAAUUUCGUUCUUUUACAUGUAGCUGUCCAGUUUUCCCAGCACCACUUAUUGAAGAGACUGUCUUUUCUCCAUUGUAUAUCCUUGCCUCCUUUCUCAUAGAUUAGUUGACCAUAUGUGUGUGGGUUUCUCUCUAGGCUUUUUUUUUUUUUUUUUUUUUUUCCCGGUACGCAGGCCUCUCACUGUUGUGGCCUCUCCCAUUGCAGAGCACAGGCUCCGGACGCGCAGGCUCAGCGGCCAUGGCUCACGGGCCCAACCACUCCGCGGCAUGUGGGAUCUUCGCAGACCGGGGCACGAACCCGUGUCCCCUGCAUCGGCAGGCGGACUCUCAACCACUGCACUACCAGGGAAGCCCUUUCUAGUAUAUUUUUCAUUUCAGUUACUGUAUUGUUCAUCUGUUUGUUUGUUCUUUAAUACUUCUAGGUCUUUGUUAAACAUUUCUUGCAUCUUCUCGAUCUUUGCCUCCAUUCUUUUUCCGAGAUCCUGGAUCAUCUUCACUAUAAUUAUUCUGAAUUCUUUUUCUGGAAGGUGGCCUAUCUCCACUCCAUUUAGUUGUUUUUCUGGGGUUUUAUCUUGUUCCUUCAUCUGGUACAUAGCCCUCUGCCUUUUCAUCUUGUCUAUCUUUCUGUGAAUGUGGUUUUUGUUCCACAGGCUGCAGGAUUGUAGUUCUUCUUGCUUCUGCUGUCUGCCCUCUGGUGGAUGAGGCUGUCUAAGAGGCUUGUGCAAGUUUCCUGAUGGGAGGGACUGGUGGUGGGUGGAGCUGACUGUUGCUCUGGUGGGCGGAGCUCAGUAAAACUUUAAUCUGCUUGACUGCUGAUGGGUGGGGCUGGGUUCCCUCCCUGUUGGUUGUUUGGCCUGAGGCAACCCAAUACUGGAGCCUACCUGGGCUCUUUGGUGGGGCUAAAGGCGGACUCUGGGAGGGCUCACGCCAAGGAGUACUUCCCAGAACUUCUGCUGCCAGUGUCCUUGUCCCCACGAUGAAGCACAGCCACCCCCUGUCACCCCAGGAGACCCUCCAAUGCUAGCAGCCUGCUGAUUCUCUCUUAAAGCUGAUCACUAUCUGCCUGAAACAGAGUUGCCUAACCUGCCACUGACUUUCCAUUCACGACCUCCUUGAGGAGACAGAUAUACACGGUCAUGAGAUCCUUGACAGCAGAAACCACUCUGUCAUUUCUGUAUCCUGAGCAUUUAUUUCUGCAUUCAUACAAGGAUGACAGUACCUAGUUCAUGGGUUAUUAAAUUUUACAUAUAGGGCUUCCCUGGCGGCGCAGUGGUUGGGAAGCCGCCUGCCAAUGCAGGGGACAGGGUUCGGGCCCUGGUCCGGGAGGAUCGCACAUGCCGCGGAGCAACUAAGCCCGUGCGCCACGGCUGCUGAGCCUGUGCUCUAGAGCCUGUGAGCCACGAAUACCGAGCCUGAGUGCCACAACUACUCGAGCCCGCGUGCCUAGAGCCUGUGCUCCGCAGCAGGAGAGGCCACUGCGAUGAGAAGCCCGCGCACCACAGUGAAGAGUAGCCCCCAUUCCCACAACUGGAGAAAGCCUGUGCGCAGGAACGAAGACCCAGUGCAGCCAAAAAUAAAUAAAUAUUAAAAAAAUUUUUUUACAUAUAUAUAUAUAUAUAUAUAUAUACACACACAGUAUUGAACCAGAUAUAAACUAAGUAUCAGUAAAAAGUGUUAAUUGUUAUCAUUUAAAACAUUAUUACUA